GGCCCCGUAGCUCAGGUGGAUAGAGCACCGGAUUCCUAAUCCGGGUGUCGCAGGUUCGAGUCCUGCCGGGGUCGCCA
rnacentral:tRNA from 1 species